rnacentral:rRNA from 1 species
GGAUCAUUACUGAGUCACGUGCUCAAACAACCCUUCUGUGGACCGAAAUUUAACCGUUGCCUCGGCGGGCGGUCCCCCGCCAAAACCCCACGUGGUGUAGGUAGGGGACCAAACAGUCCGGUACGCCUAAGGCGUCCGGCGCCAGCCGCUGGCCCUAAACAAUUAAACUCUAGUAACCUUACCUUCUGAGUUUUAAUGCAAAAAAAUAAGUCAAAACUUUCAACAACGGAUCUCUUGGCUCUGGCAUCGAUGAAGAACGCAGCGAAAUGCGAUAAGUAAUGUGAAUUGCAGAAUUCAGUGAAUCAUCGAAUCUUUGAACGCACAUUGCGCCCGCUGGUAUUCCAGCGGGCAUGCCCGUUCGAGCGUCAUUUUAAUUCCUUCCUGUGAAACUCUUCUAUUCUGUAGUGGAGUCCACGGGGCGUUGGCACUGGGCGCCUCAUUUUUAGGCGGCCGGAGCCGAAAUGAAGCGGCGGACUCGCGGCGGCCCCUAGCGCAGUAGAAACAAAGCCUUCUCGCUUAGGAAGAGCCGCAGCGGCGGACCACAGCCCUACAUACUUUUUUCUUAAAAACUUGACCUCGGAUCGGGUAGGACUACCCGCUGAACUUAAGCAUAUCAAUAAGCGGAGGAAAAGAAACCAACAGGGAUUGCCUUAGUAACGGCGAGUGAAGCGGCAACAGCUCAGAUUUGAAAUCUGGCCUUCGGGUCCGAGUUGUAAUCUGUAGAGGAUGCUUCGGGUGCGGUACCUUCCGAGUGCCCUGGAACGGGACGCCAGAGAGGGUGAGAGCCCCGUACGGUUGGAUACCAAGCCCAUGUGAAGCUCCUUCGACGAGUCGAGUAGUUUGGGAAUGCUGCUCAAAAUGGGAGGUAAAUUUCUUCUAAAGCUAAAUACCGGCCAGAGACCGAUAGCGCACAAGUAGAGUGAUCGAAAGAUGAAAAGCACUUUGGAAAGAGGGUUAAAAAGUACGUGAAAUUGUUGAAAGGGAAGCGCUUGCGACCAGACUCGCGCCCCGUGGAUCAUCCGGUGUUCUCACCGGUGCACUCCGCGGGUCUCGGGCCAGCAUCGGUUUGCCCAGGGGGAUAAAAGCUCUGGGAAUGUGGCUCUCUUCGGGGAGUGUUAUAGCCCACUGUGGAAUACCCCUGGCGUAGACCGAGGACCGCG